rnacentral:rRNA from 1 species
ACGAACGCUGGCGGCGUGCUUAACACAUGCAAGUCGAACGAUGAAGAAGAGAAACGCGAACUUCGGUUCAAAUUUCACUUCGGAUUAGUGGCAGACGGGUGAGUAACGCGUGAGCAACCUACCUCUUACAAAGGGAUAGCCUCGGGAAACCGUAAUUAAUACCAUAUGACACAUUCAUAAGGCAUCUUAAGAAUGUUAAAGCUACGGCGGUAAGAGAUGGGCUCGCGUCCCAUUAGCUAGUUGGUGAGGUAACGGCCCACCAAGGCGACGAUGGGUAACCGGCCUGAGAGGGUGAACGGUCACAUUGGAACUGAGACACGGUCCAAACUCCUACGGGAGGCAGCAGUGGGGAAUAUUGCACAAUGGAGGGAACUCUGAUGCAGCGACGCCGCGUGAGCGAUGAAGGAAUUCGUUUCGUAAAGCUCUGUUCUAUGGGAAGAAAAGGACUGUACCAUAGGAGAAAGCCCCGGCUAAAUACGUG